AUUGAACGCUGGCGGCAGGCUUAACACAUGCAAGUCGAGCGGUAACAGAGAGAAGCUUGCUUCUCUGCUGACGAGCGGCGGACGGGUGAGUAAUGCCUAGGAAUCUGCCUAGUAGUGGGGGAUAACUUGCCGAAAGGUAAGCUAAUACCGCAUACGUCCUGCGGGAGAAAGGAGGGGACCUUCGGGCCUUUCGCUAUUAGAUGAGCCUAGGUCGGAUUAGUUAGUUGGGGAGGUAAUGGCUCACCAAGACCGCGAUCCGUAACUGGUCUGAGAGGAUGAUCAGUCACACUGGAACUGAGACACGUUCCAGACUCCUACGGGAGGCAGCAGUGGGGAAUAUUGGACAAUGGGGGGAACCCUGAUCCAGCCAUGCCGCGUGUGUGAAGAAGGUCUUAGGAUUGUAAAGCACUUUAAGUUGGGAGGAAGAGCAGUUAACUAAUAUUUGACUGUUUUGACGUUACCGACAGAAUAAGCACCGGCUAACUUCGUGCCAGCCGCCGCAGUAA
rnacentral:rRNA from 1 species